UGCGUCAGCUAAUAAAUUUUUUUUCUUGUUUUUUUUUUUUUAAAUUCGUGUUUACUUGAGGGUUAUAAAAUUUAAAAAAUUAAUUCAGUGGUGGUUUUAGUGUUUGUGUUCAGUGAACUUUUCAGUUUUUUUAGUGGUGUUAGUGAUAAAUAAAAGUGAACGAAUUUUUUCAAAAGCUUUGGAGAUUCUUGGGUCGAGAUCAUUGGGCCGGACUUAGAAAAUUCUACCACCGGAAAUUGUCAGCAAGGACAUUGUCGGCCUUCAGUACAUUUCUCGGUGUGAUAGAUCGGGAUGAGGAUCAGAAUCGGGAUCACCCAUUUAUGAGAGUAUUAUUAGUAGCCGUGACGACGAGAGUCCGCCGAGCAAUGUUU